GACGAACGCUGGCGGCGUGCUUAACACAUGCAAGUCGAGCGGUAAGGCCCUUCGGGGUCCACGAGCGGCGAACGGGUGAGUAACACGUGAGUAAUCUGCCCAUCACUUCGGGAUAACUCCGGGAAACCGGUGCUAAUACCGAAUAUGACCACUUCAGGCAUCUGAUGGUGGUGGAAAGUUCCGGCGGUGAUGGAUGAGCUCGCGGCCUAUCAGCUUGUUGGUGGGGUAGUGGCCUACCAAGGCUUCGACGGGUAGCCGGCCUGAGAGGGUGACCGGCCACACUGGGACUGAGACACGGCCCAGACUCCUACGGGAGGCAGCAGUGGGGAAUAUUGGACAAUGGGCGAAAGCCUGAUCCAGCAACGCCGCGUGAGGGAUGACGGCCUUCGGGUUGUAAACCUCUUUCAGCAGGGACGAAGCGCAAGUGACGGUACCUACAGAAGAAGCACCGGCCAACUACGUG
rnacentral:rRNA from 1 species